GAUGAACGCUGGCGGCGUGCCUAAUACAUGCAAGUCGAGCGAACGGACGAGAAGCUUGCUUCUCUGAUGUUAGCGGCGGACGGGUGAGUAACACGUGGAUAACCUACCUAUAAGACUGGGAUAACUUCGGGAAACCGGAGCUAAUACCGGAUAAUAUUUUGAACCGCAUGGUUCAAAAGUGAAAGACGGUCUUGCUGUCACUUAUAGAUGGAUCCGCGCUGCAUUAGCUAGUUGGUAAGGUAACGGCUUACCAAGGCAACGAUGCAUAGCCGACCUGAGAGGGUGAUCGGCCGCACUGGAACUGAGACACGGUCCAGACUCCUACGGGAGGCAGCAGUAGGGAAUCUUCCGCAAUGGGCGAGAGCCUGACGGAGCAACGCCGCGUGAGUGAUGAAGGUCUUCGGAUCGUAAAACUCUGUUAUUAGGGAAGAACAUAUGUGUAAGUAACUGUGCACAUCUUGACGGUACCUAAUCAGAAAGCCACGGCUAACUACGUG
rnacentral:rRNA from 1 species